rnacentral:lncRNA from 1 species
CUUGGCUUCUCUCUCAACCCUCCUUUCAUUAUCUCUCGCCAACAGAGGGCAUAGCAUUUACCAUUAGAUACGGUGGCGACGCACCCCUUUGAGAUGUAGAUGCAGAGCUUGCGCAUCUGGGAAAAUGUCGGGAUUGUCAUGUAACGAGGAAUCGGGAAAGAAAAGGAAGAAGAACCAAACGGGAUGGAAGAUCAGUAGUCCAAGAACAGAAAAAGAAGGAGGCAACCAAUUUAAAUGAAUUUCGAAUUUGGAAACGACAGUGUUUUAUUCAAGUGAAAACAACCCCAUUUUGCUUUAGUUUUAUUGAAUAAAUUGUAAUAGGAAUCAAGAAUAUUUUUUCCUGUUAAGCGGUGAAAGUAUGACUUUAAUUGAGGCUAUAAUAGCCCAUGUGCGUAGUGGAGAGGAGUGUAUUGUUUUACCAGAUUUUCAGUGAAAUUGUGAUUGAAUCAACAACUUUUCUCCCUUCUCUCUUGUUCGUUUUACAUCAUUUAUCUUAUCUCCUUUCCAUUUUUCUUUUACUUGGUUACCAUUUCAGCUGGUUUAGUUGGGAAAUUUCAUUAAUCGAUUUGUUGAAGCUUAAGGUUGUGAGUUGAAAUUCAGCUCGUGACAAAUUGGUAUCAGAGCGGGCAAAUAUACUGGGCAAUUGAAAUUAUGGACACACGAGCUAAUGCAGCUGAUGAGCAUCUGAAGAAACUGGAUCUGGAAGUAGUUGAUUUGGGUAUAGCUUUUAAAGUUGUUACCAGCAGGCUUAAGAACAGACUCGAAUCCAUAGAUCAAUCCCUUCAAGUGCUGGGUCAUUGGCAGGAGAGAACAGAGGAUGUUGUGCUGGAUUUGAACCAAAAAUAUUAGAAGGUUGUUACAUUUAUGGCCAAAAUUUUUGUUGACUUGAAAACCAAUUAGAAGUACAAAAGGAUAGAGGCAUAUAUAGAUGAUUUUAAGUCCGAGAGUGUGACUUAUACACCAGGCGACAGUAGUAAUAAGGCUAGUGUCAUCACCAGAGGUGAGUUCAAAUGGAAUAUAGGUUGCCCAAGAUCUAUUUUCCUCAUUUUGAGGGAAAGAAUCCCACAUAAUGGCUGAGAAAAGCUUGAAAGUAUUUCCACUUGUACCAGGUACAUGAGGAACUGGAAGCGGGAGUAGUAGAAAUGUAUUCAAGGGAAAUGCUGACAUCUUGUUUGACGGAUUCAUCACAAGCCAUCCUAGGGCUGACUAGAACCUAUUCAGUGAAGAACUCUGUAGGAGGUUUGUAAAAGCCACUGGUGAAGAAGUGGUAAAGAGCUUUAGCAAAAUCAAACAAUUGGGCUCUAUAGAGAAAUACCAGGAGAAAUUCGAGGAGUUGAAAUCACAGGUAGUGUUGGCAUUAAUCCAUGUUCCAAAGUCCUAUUAUAUUGUUAUAUUUACUAAUGGUUUGGGAGGUUUCGAUCAAUGGUUAAGAUGAUGAAAUCAAGUACUCUAGCUAAGGCAUUUGAGGUGGCUAGUUUGCAGGAGUCUAUCGUUAAGGCCUUCCAAAAAUUCCAAAAACCAAAAGGGUCCACACCAAUCUAGUAGAGCCCCUACUCUUCUAAACCUCCUGAAGAAAUUAAAGCUAAAGAUCCCUCACCUAAACCCAAUAAAUCACCAAAUGGUUAUAAGACCAUUAGUCCCACUGAUUUCCAGACUAAAGGGAACUUGGGACUCUGAUACAAGUGUGAUGAAAAGUACAUUGUGGGUCAUGUGAGUUAAAACAAGUCCCUAAACUUUAUUUUGGUGGAUGAAGUAGAGGAAGAAAAGUUUGUGGAGAGAGGGGAGUCUGAAUCAGAAGGAGAAUAAGUGAUGGAAAUUUCCAUUAACACAUUAGCUAGGAGCCCCAAACAUAGAACAAUAAGAGUGCCAGACGCAUUGAAGGAGAGGAAAAUAUCUAUUUUGAUAGAUAUUGGUAGUACUCAUAAUUUUAUAGAUGAAGGAUUAGCGAGAGAGAUGAAUUUGUCUAUUGAUGGAACUAAGACAUUGACAGUUGGGGUAGCAAAUGGUUAGAAAUUGGAGAGUAAAAGCCUCCACUCACCCUUGACUUGGAAGGUACACAACGGGGAAUUUCAACACAAUCUCAGGACCUUGAAGUUGGGUGACGGUGACAUAGUACUAGGGGUGAAUUGGAUGAGUCAAUUUAGCCCAACAUGUUUGACUUUGCCAAGGCACGCAUCAGGUUCGGGCAUAACCUGGAGGAAGUAACCUUGAGUAGUGAAGGCUCUGCACAGCUAGUUAUGAUGGUGGAAGUAGAGAAAAUGAAGAAAAUAUUUAAGAAGCGCAUCUAUGGAAUUGGUGGACAAGUAUACACCAUCACCGGGGAGAAACUUGAGAAGAUUCCCAUGGGGAUUCCAGAAGUGAUUGAAUAAUUCCCUGGGGUUAUUUGAAGAACCCAAGGGAUUAUUUAUCCCUAGGUCUCACCACCAUCACAUUCCACUGAAGAAGGGUAUACAACCUUUCAAGAUCAGGCCAUGCAAAUGCCCUUUUAUCCAGAAAUCUGAAAUUGAGAGAUUGGUUAAGGAAAUGCUACAUAGUGGCUAACAAUCUAGCAAGAGCUCCUUUGCCUCCCCUGUUCUCUUGGUGAAAGAGAGAUGGAUCAUGGUGGUUUUGCAUGGACUACAUACAAUUAAACAGCUUAACUGUUAAGCACAAGUUUUCUAUGCCAAUGAUUAAUGAACUAAUUGAUAAGUUGAAUGGGACGAAUUACUUCUCUAGAAUUGACCUUUCGUCAGGCUAUCACCAAAUCAGAGUGGUUGAAUCUAAUAUCCGCCAGACAGUUUUUAAGACUCAUCAGGGUCUUUAUGAAUUCAAAGUGAUGCCAUUCGGCCUCACUAAUGCCUUUGCUAUAUUUCAAAGCCUCAUGAACGAGGUAUUCAAAAGGCAAUUAAGGGAUUGUGUCUUGGUGUUUUUUUAUGACAUCCUGGUUUAUAGCAAGGACUUAAUUACUAAUUGCCAACACCUAAAAUUUGUACUUGAGAUUCUUUAGAAGAUGCAAUUAUAUGUUAAGAGGUCUAAGUGCGGCUUUGGACAGGAACGGGUGGAAUACUUGGGGCACAUUAUUAAUCAAGAAAGAGUUUCAGCCAGUCUUAGCAAAAUUAAGGCCAUGUAACUAUGGCCUAAACCUAAAAAUAUCAAGCAGUUGAGGAGGUUUCAAGGACUUAUAGGGUACUAUACGAAAUUUGUCAAUAAAUAUGGGGUCAUUGCUAAACCAUUGACCGAUCUUCUCGAAAAAGACAACUUCCAGUAGUCAGAGGCAGCAAAUUCAGCAUUUAUGUUGUUGAAAGAGGCAAUGAGCACCCCACCAGUCUUUGCUUUACCUGAUUUCAACAAGCUAUUCAUAAUUGAAACAGAUGCAUGUCAAAGGGGUUAGAGGUUGUACUGAUGGAAGAUAGGAGACCCCUGGCUUAUUUGAGCAAAUGCUGUGGGGGUCAACAAUAUGGAGUCUAUCCAUCUAUGAGAAGGAAUUAUUAGCUCUAGUAACUACAGUGAGCAAGUUGAGGCACUACCUAAGGGACCACUAUUUUAUUAUAAAGACUGAUUAUCAGUCUCUCAAGUAAUUACUUGAGCAAAGGAUCACCAUACCUCUACAACAGAGAUAGCUAACCAAAUUGUUGGGGCUCAAUUAUGAAAUUUUGUACCAAAAGGGAAUGGAUAACAUUGUGGCAGAUGCUUUAUCUAGAAGCGAUGAAGGAAAGCUAGAGUGUCUGAGAAUUACAGUGAUAACUCCAGCUUGGAUUCAAGAGGUUAUGGAGAGCUACUAGGGAGAUAAAAGGGUUGACGAAAAAAAUCCAAACCUUAUUACUACAGCCUGAAUCUAAACCUGAUUUUAGUUUUAACAGUGGUUUGCUAAAAUGUAAGGGGAAGAUCUAUAUUGGAAAAAGUAGUGACUUUAGAGAAAAACGGAUUCAAAAUUUACAAGGCUCACAGAGAGAGGCCAUUUAGGCAUUCAUAGCGGCAUAUAUAGAGUAAAACAACAAUUUGAUUAGCCAGGACUGAAUCAAGAUAUUAAGAGGAAGAUGUAACAAUGUGAGAUAUACUAGAGAUGCAAAGGAGAACACACAAAGUAUCCUGGAUUACUACAGCCUUUUCCUGAGCCCCUUCACUCGUGAGCCAUAUUAGCAAGGACUUUAUUGAGGGACUUCCCACUUCAGGAGGUAAGAAUGCCAUAAUAGCGGUAGUGGACAGGUUCACCAAGUAAUGACAUUUCAUACCUCUGUCAUACCCCUUCACUAGCUUUGUUCGUGGCUAAACUAUUUAUGGACAAUGUGUAUAAGCUCCAUAGGAUGCCUCAGAUCAUUGUCUCUAAUAGAAACAAGGUUUUUACUAGCAAGUUUUGGCAGGAACUAUUUACACCAAAUUACAGUUCAGCUCUGCAUUCCAUUCUCAAACAGAUGAGCAAACCGAGAAGGUCAAUCAAUGUUUGGAAAUUUAUUUGAGGUGCGUGACUUAUUAGCUUCCUAAGCUUUGGAGUAAGUAGUUAACCCCGACUGAGUGGUAGUACAACCCCACUUUUCGUAAUCCUAUUAGGGCGUCCUCCUUUGAAGUCCUCUAUGGAAUUAAACCUCCAUAGUUAGCUUUGGGACCCUUCCAACAAUCCAAACUACAGGCUGAUCAACAAUUAAAGGAAAAUUUGUUUCAGACAAGGGCUCGAAUGAAACUGUAUGCUGACAGGAGUCCAACUAAAAUGAUCUUUGAAGAAGGUGAUUGGAUUUUUCUUAAGCUGCAUCCAUUCACUCAACAAUGACCUACUCGUAAACUAAAUGCUAGGUACUUCGAUCGCUACCAAAUCAUCAAAAGGAUUGGAAAUGUGGCUUAUCAGUUAGCAUUACUUGAGGGUUCAAAGGCCCAUCCAAUUUAUCAUAUAUCCUUGUUGAAUAAGGAGCUUGGACAUAAUUCUAUGCCGAUCCUACAACUACUAGAGGAAAAACAUAUUCAGAUCAUUACCCUUUCUCCAUUUGGAGUCGCAUUUGUUGAAACGCUGGAACAAUUCAGCAGUACAGUGACUCAUUCAUUGGUCAGAUAUGCCACUAGAAGAUGGGACAUGUGAGGAAGUUGAUUGGGCAAAUUUGACUAUCCUAAUUGUGGAUCUUGAGGGCAAUAUUAAGGUGAGAUGGAGGGUUGUUAUGUAACAAGGAAUUGGGGAAGAAAAGGAAGAAGAACCAACCGAGGAAGGAAGAACGGUGGUCCAGUAAUAGAAGAAGGAGAAAACCGAUUUAACUGAAUUUCGAAUUGGGAAAUGACGGCAUUUUAUUCAAGUGAAAACGACACAAUUUUGCUUUUAUUUUAUUGAAUAGAUUGUAAUAGGAAAUCAAUAACCUUAUUUUAUUUGUGAAGCGAUGAAAUUACGACUUUAAUUUGUUGGUGGAAUUGAGGCUAU